rnacentral:rRNA from 1 species
AGAGUUUGAUCCUGGCUCAGAGCGAACGCUGGCGGCAGGCUUAACACAUGCAAGUCGAGCGGGCGUAGCAAUACGUCAGCGGCAGACGGGUGAGUAACGCGUGGGAACGUACCUUUUGGUUCGGAACAACUGAGGGAAACUUCAGCUAAUACCGGAUAAGCCCUUACGGGGAAAGCUUUAUCGCCGAAAGAUCGGCCCGCGUCUGAUUAGCUAGUUGGUGAGGUAAUGGCUCACCAAGGCGACGAUCAGUAGCUGGUCUGAGAGGAUGAUCAGCCACAUUGGGACUGAGACACGGCCCAAACUCCUACGGGAGGCAGCAGUGGGGAAUAUUGGACAAUGGGCGAAAGCCUGAUCCAGCCAUGCUGCGUGAGUGAUGAAGGCCCUAGGGUUGUAAAGCUCUUUUGUGCGGGAAGAUAAUGACGGUACCACAAGAAUAAGCCCCGGCUAACUUCGUGCCAGCAGCCGCGGUAAUACGAAGGGGGCUAGCGUUGCUCGGAAUCACUGGGCGUAAAGGGUGCGUAGGCGGGUCUUUAAGUCAGAGGUGAAAUCCUGGAGCUCAACUCCAGAACUGCCUUUGAUACUGAGGAUCUUGAGUUCGGGAGAGGUGAGUGGAACUGCGAGUGUAGAGGUGAAAUUCGUAGAUAUUCGCAAGAACACCAGUGGCGAAGGCGGCUCACUGGCCCGAUACUGACGCUGAGGCACGAAAGCGUGGGGAGCAAACAGGAUUAGAUACCCCGGUAGUCC